CAAGGUAGUUUAUAAAUGUGG
rnacentral:miRNA from 1 species